rnacentral:rRNA from 1 species
UACGUAGGGAGCAAGCGUUGUCAGGAUUUAUUGGGCGUAAAGAGCUCGUAGGCGGUGUGUCGCGUCGGCCGUGAAAACCUGGGGCUCAACUCUGGGCGUGCGGUCGAUACGGGCAUCACUUGAGUUCGGCAGGGGAGACUGGAAUUCCUGGUGUAGCGGUGAAAUGCGCAGAUAUCAGGAGGAACACCGGUGGCGAAGGCGGGUCUCUGGGCCGAUACUGACGCUGAGGAGCGAAAGCAUGGGGAGCGAACAGG